AAACAAUGUGUUUCUUUAAAGAAUAAAGACAGUGGGUUAGUGUGUGACACAAAUGCGCCAUCUGACACCUGCUCUUCAUCGGCUACACAAUUCCCUCCAUGUGUAGGUCCCCCAUUUACGACGAGUCCUCGUCUUUCGCUCCUGUCGGUCCUGCCCUACUGCUGGAGGCGGUGAGCGGUCUCUGGUGGUCCUGGGCCCACACCCUAAGGUCAUCCUGGCCGUACAUGUGUCCACCGAAGGAGUCCAUCAAGGAGAAGAAGACCGUGAAGGCGCUCAACGCCGAUCCGAUGAGAUACAACUUCACGAAGGACCACUCCAUGACUUCCAGCUGAGACGCACCUCUGUUUUUAUCCUCACGUCUCCACCAGUUUCCAUCUCUGGAGACCAGUGUCACUGCACACUAAUGACAAGGAGGCAAUGGCUUUGAGCAAUGUGCAAGUUAUCAAGGCCUGAUGACACUGAUUGGCCAACAGACAGCUCCCAGAUUGGACAGGGGGUUGGACGAUGGUGGAGGAACAGCCAAUGGCGUGAGACCUACAGAGAACGAGAGGGGAGACACAGGAAAACAACC